ACGGGGUGCAGCAGGCGCGAAAACUUCGCAAUAAGCGAAAGCUUGACGGGGCCAUCCCGAGUGCCAUCUGCUGAGGAUGGCUUUUACCUAGUAUAGAUAGCUGGGGGAAUAAGGAGAGGGCAAGUCUGGUGUCAGCCGCCGCGGUAAUACCAGCUCUCCGAGUUGUGGGGAUGUUUAUUGGGCCUAAAGCAUCCGUAGCCGGCUGGACAAGUCCCCUGUUAAAUCCAGCGAUCAAUCGUUGGUCUGCGGGGGAUACUGUCCGGCUAGGAGGCGGGAGAGGCCGUCGGUAUUCUUGGGGUAGGGGUGAAAUCCUAUAAUCCCAGGAGGACCACCAGUGGCGAAGGCUGUCGGCUAGAACGCGCCCGACGGUGAGGGAUGAAAGCUGGGGGAGCGAACCGGAUUAGAUACCCGGGUAGUCCCAGCUGUAAACGAUGCAGGCUAGGUGUUAGGGCGGCUACGUGCCGCUCUAGUGCCGCAGGGAAGCUGUUAAGCCUGCCGCCUGGGGGGUACGGCCGCAAGGCUGAAACUUAAAGGAAUUGGCGGGGGAGCAC
rnacentral:rRNA from 1 species